UGGGGAAUUUUGGACAAUGGGCGAAAGCCUGAUCCAGCAAUGCCGCGUGAGUGAAGAAGGCCUUCGGGUUGUAAAGCUCUUUUGUCAGGGAAGAAACGGUGAAAGCUAAUAUCUUUUGCUAAUGACGGUACCUGAAGAAUAAGCACCGGCUAACUACGUGCCGGCAGCCGCGGUAAUACGAAGGGUGCAAGCGUUAAUCGGAAUUACUGGGCGUAAAGCGUGCGCAGGCGGUUUUGUAAGUCUGAUGUGAAAUCCCCGGGCUCAACCUGGGAAUUGCAUUGGAGACUGCAAGGCUAGAAUCUGGCAGAGGGGGGUAGAAUUCCACGUGUAGCAGUGAAAUGCGUAGAUAUGUGGAGGAACACCGAUGGCGAAGGCAGCCCCCUGGGUCAAGAUUGACGCUCAUGCACGAAAGCGUGGGGAGCAAACAGGAUUAGAUACCCUGGUAGUCCACGCCCUAAACGAUGUCUACUAGUUGUCGGGUCUUAAUUGACUUGGUAACGCAGCUAACGCGUGAAGUAGACCGCCUGGGGAGUACGGUCGCAAGAUUAAAACUCAAAUGAAUUGACGGGGUCAUAGCUGUUUCCU
rnacentral:rRNA from 1 species